rnacentral:ncRNA from 1 species
ACAGUACAAACUGAGCAGGCGAUGGCAGCGGAGAUCAUCAGGUAACAGGCAGAUUUCCGUAUUUAGCAUAGGCCGGGCUGCAUAAGCGGCAGCGGAUAUGGACCAUACAAACAUAUCUGCGGGACAGU